GAAUUGUGACAGAACAGCUGUGGCAUUUUUGACUAAUUCUAUGUUAGUAUCAAUUAAUGUAGAAUAUCUGGUUUUUCUCCUAUCUUUUGAAUAUUUAAAUUCAAUUGUCAACGUUUCCAACUACGAUCGUACCGAAGAAUGGGGAAGUUUCUUGAUUUUU
rnacentral:sRNA from 1 species